rnacentral:rRNA from 1 species
GCAUAUCAAUAAGCGGAGGAAAAGAAACCAACAGGGAUUGCCCCAGUAACGGCGAGUGAAGCGGCAACAGCUCAAAUUUGAAAUCUGGCCUCGCGGCCCGAGUUGUAAUUUGCAGAGGAUGCUUUUGGUGAGGUGCCUUCCGAGUUCCCUGGAACGGGACGCCAUAGAGGGUGAGAGCCCCGUCCGGUUGGAAGCCGAGCCUGUGUAAAGCUCCUUCGACGAGUCGAGUAGUUUGGGAAUGCUGCUCUAAAUGGGAGGUACAUGUCUUCUAAAGCUAAAUACCGGCCAGAGACCGAUAGCGCACAAGUAGAGUGAUCGAAAGAUGAAAAGCACUUUGAAAAGAGGGUUAAACAGUACGUGAAAUUGUUGAAAGGGAAGCGCUUGUGACCAGACUUGGGCCCGGCGAAUCAUCCAGCGUUCUCGCUGGUGCACUUCGCCGGCCCAGGCCAGCAUCAGUUCGCCUCGGGGGAUAAAGGCGUCGGGAACGUGGCUCCCUCGGGAGUGUUAUAGCCCUUCGCGCAAUACCCUGCGGCGGACUGAGGUCCGCGUUCUGCAAGGAUGCUGGCAUAAUGGUCAUCAGCGACCCGUCUUGAAACACGGACCAAGGAGUCGUCUUCGUAUGCGAGUGUUCGGGUGUCAAACCCCUACGCGUAAUGAAAAGUGAACGCAGGUGAGAGCUUCGGCGCAUCAUCGACCGAUCCUGAUGUUCUCGGAUGGAUUUGAGUAAGAGCAUACGGGGCCGGACCCGAAAGAAGGUGAACUAUGCCUGUGUAGGGUGAAGCCAGAGGAAACUCUGGUGGAGGCUCGCAGCGGUUCUGACGUGCAAAUCGAUCGUCAAACAUGGGCAUGGGGGGCGAAAGACUAAUCGAACCUUCUAGUAGCUGGGUUCCGCCGA